AAAGCAUCGAGAAAAAGAUAAACUUCCUAGUGACAAAGUCACGUCGUCAGUUUCCUAUUUUCUACUUGCUUU
rnacentral:ncRNA from 1 species